AGAAAAUUCAUGUGUAUUUCUGACCGGAACUAAGAUUGUUUUGCUGCAUUUUGAAGAUCCGGAAAGGUAUGAACUGAAUCUGGAACACGCUGUUUAUGGUUGAGUCCAGCCCACAGAGUCUGCAGGUGGUUGUGAGAGGACUGCCCACAGAUCCAUUGAUUCAUUCCAGGUUCCACCCGUGUUUACUCUCAUCACAAGCAGCAGUUGGCGUUGUGGUGUGGUCAUAGGUGUGUCUGUGACAUCAUCAUCAUCAUCAUCUUCAGGAGUGAUGCGCAGGAAGUCGACG